rnacentral:rRNA from 1 species
UACGGAGGGUGCAAGCGUUAUCCGGAUUCACUGGGUUUAAAGGGUGCGUAGGUGGGCAGUUAAGUCAGUGGUGAAAUCUCCGGGCUCAACCCGGAAACUGCCCAUUGAUACUAUCUGUCUUGAAUAUCGUGGAGGUAAGCGGAAUAUGUCAUGUAGCGGUGAAAUGCUUAGAUAUGACAUAGAACACCAAUUGCGAAGGCAGCUUACUACCCGAAUAUUGACACUGAGGCACGAAAGCGUGGGGAGCAAACAGG